AAAGUCGUAACAAGGUUUCCGUAGGUGAACCUGCGGAAGGAUCAUUAACGUAUUUGUCGAGGGUUAGCCUAGCUAAUCUGUCACCGACAUUACCCCUGUUUUUGUGCACCUUUGUUUCCUUGACAGGCUCGCCUGUCAAAAGGAUUAUUUUAACCCACUUGUAAUAGUAAUUUGCGUCAGAAAAACUAAAUAUUUACAACUUUCAACAACGGAUCUCUUGGUUCUG
rnacentral:misc_RNA from 1 species